UACGAAGGGGGCUAGCGUUGUUCGGAAUUACUGGGCGUAAAGGGCGCGUAGGCGGUGUGUCAAGUCAGGCGUGAAAGCCCCGGGCUCAACCUGGGAACCGCGCUUGAGACUGGCACGCUAGAGUUCGGGAGAGGAUGGUGGAAUUCCCAGUGUAGAGGUGAAAUUCGUAGAUAUUGGGAAGAACACCGAUGGCGAAGGCAGCCAUCUGGACCGACACUGACGCUGAGGCGCGAAAGCGUGGGGGAGCAAACAGGAUUG
rnacentral:rRNA from 1 species